AUGAGGGGUUCACGGUGGUGCUGCUGCUGCUUCGGCCGGGGCGGCGGCGGGGCCGGGCGGUCGGGGAGCGUGGGCGACGACGGGCUGGUGUGGGACGUGGGCCUCAAGGCGCACGCCUCCGGCGAGUACUCCGUCGCCGUGGCCCAGGCCAACGAGGCGCUCGAGGACCAGGCGCAGGUGCUCGUCUCCCCCGCCGCCACGCUCGUCGGCGUCUACGACGGCCACGGCGGCCCCGACGCCGCCCGCUUCGUCAACGCGCGUCUCUUCUCCCUCAUCCAAGAGUUCGCGUCCCAGAGCGGAGGCAUCUCGGCGCAGGUGAUCAAGAGGGCCUUCGGCGCCACGGAGGAGGCGUUCAUGGGCAUGGUGGAGAAGUCGUGGCCGUCGCAGCCGCGUCUCAUGUCCGUCGGCUCCUGCUGCCUGGUGGGCGCCAUCGAGGGCGGCACGCUCCACGUCGCCAACCUGGGCGACUCGCGCGCCGUGCUGGGCCGCCUCGCCAGCACGGGCGGGAAGAAGCGGAGGGCGGUGGUGGCGGAGCGGCUGUCGCGGGACCACAACGUGGCCGACGAGGAGGUGCGGCGGGAGGUGGCGGAGGCGCACCCGGACGACCCGCACAUCGUGAUGAGCAGCCACGGCGUGUGGCGGAUCAAGGGGAUCAUCCAGGUGUCCCGCUCCAUCGGGGACGCCUACCUGAAGCGGCCCGACCUGUGCAGCCCGGCGGUGAUGCAGUCGCUCUGCCCGUUCCCGCUGCGCCGCCCGGUGAUGAGCGCCGUGCCGUCGGUCACGUCCCGCAGGCUGCGCCCCGGCGACCAGUUCAUCAUCUUCGCGUCGGACGGGCUGUGGGAGCAGCUCAGCGACGAGGCCGCCGUGGGCAUCGUGUCCCGGAGCCCGAGGAAGGGCGUGGCGAUGAGGCUCGUGCGCGCCGCGCAGCUGGAGGCGGCCAGGAAGAAGGACAUCAAGUACGAGAGCAUCGCGGCCAUCGAGAAGGGCCGCCGGCGGCGCUUCCACGACGACAUCACCGUCGUCGUGCUCUUCCUCGACAGCAGGUGCGAGGGCACGCCGCAGCCGACGGCCGGCGCCGGCGGGAUCGACGGCACGCGCGCCCCCGUCGACGUGUUCUCGCUCGGCCCCGACGACCACGGGGACGACCCGACCAGGCCCGUGCUGCGCUGA
rnacentral:rRNA from 1 species